AGAGUUUGAUCAUGGCUCAGGAUGAACGCUGGCGGCGUGCCUAACACAUGCAAGUCGAGCGGAGAUUAAGAAGCUUGCUUCUUAAUCUUAGCGGCGGACGGGUGGGUAACGCGUGGGUAACCUGCCCUAUACACACGGAUAACAUAUCGAAAGAUAUGCUAAUACGAGAUAACACAUUUUUAAGGCAUCUUAGAAAUGUCAAAGAUUUUAUCGGUAUAGGAUGGACCCGCGUCCCAUUAGCUAGUUGGUGAGGUAAAAGCUUACCAAGGCGACGAUGGGUAGCCGACCUGAGAGGGUGAUCGGCCACACUGGAACUGAGACACGGUCCAGACUCCUACGGGAGGCAGCAGUGGGGAAUAUUGCACAAUGGGGGGAACCCUGAUGCAGCAACGCCGCGUGAGCGAUGAAGGCCUUCGGGUCGUAAAGCUCUGUCCUAAGGGAAGAUAAUGACGGUACCUUAGGAGGAAGCCCCGGCUAACUACGUGCCAGCAGCCGCGGUAAUACGUAGGGGGCAAGCGUUAUCCGGAAUAACUGGGCGUAAAGGGUGCGUAGGCGGCCCUGCAAGUCAGAAGUGAAAGGCUACGGCUCAACCGUAGUAAGCUUUUGAAACUGUAGGGCUUGAGUGCAGGAGAGGAGAGUAGAAUUCCUAGUGUAGCGGUGAAAUGCGUAGAUAUUAGGAGGAAUACCAGUUGCGAAGGCGGCUCUCUGGACUGUAACUGACGCUGAGGCACGAAAGCGUGGGGAGCGAACAGGAUUAGAUACCCUGGUAGUCCACGCCGUAAACGAUGAGUGCUAGGUGUCGGGGGUUACCCCCCUCGGUGCCGCAGCUAACGCAUUAAGCACUCCGCCUGGGGAGUACGCUCGCAAGAGUGAAACUCAAAUGAAUUGACGG
rnacentral:rRNA from 1 species